AUUUGAAACGUCCGUUCCCGUAAGAUUACCGAAGUUAAGCAACUUGGAGCUUGGUUGGUAUAUCUAGAUGAGCGACCGCUUGGGAAUACCAUGUGCUGUAAG